UGAUGGCUAUUGUAUAUGAUUCGCUCAUG
rnacentral:piRNA from 1 species